AUGGCCGACCCGACGCCGACGCGUGCGGGCACCAGAACCAGCGGCAUGGCCGCGAGGAGCGGUGUAAUGUUCGACACCGCGGUCGCCUCGACGCCGGCCUCCGCCAGGGAGAUGCUGGCCGGCGGCGUCGCGGGCGUGCUGGCCAAGACGGCCGUGGCCUCGCUCGGCCGCGUGAAGCUCCUCCGCCGAACGGGCGGCGAACCCGGGGGCGUCGGCGCCGUCCGGACGCUCGUCGGGAUCUACCGCCGGGAAGGUGUCGCGGGGCUCUACCGCGGCAACGGCGCCAACGCGCUGCGCGUGUUCCCGUCCAAGGCGCUGCACUUCGCCGCCUACGAGCGGUACAGGGGCUGGCUCCUCGCCGCCACGGCCGCCCCGUCGUCGUCGGCCGUGGACCUCCUCGCCGGCUCGGCCGCCGGCGGCACCGCGCUGCUCGCGACGUACCCGCUCGACCUCGCCCGCGCGCGGCUCGCCUCGGGCGACGGCGCGUGCACGAGCGUGCACGGCGUCCUCCGGGCCGCGUACGCGGAGGGUGGCGGCGUGCGCGGGCUGUACCGCGGCGCGUGCCCGGCGCUGGCGCGCGCGCUGCCCAGGGCAGGGAUCAAGUUCGGCGCGUACGAGUGGCUCAAGCGGCGGCUCCCCGAGGGGUACGACGGGCGCGCGGACGCGCAGCUGGCGUGCGGGGUGGCAGCGGCGCAGCUGGCCAGCACGGCGACGUACCCGCUGGGCGUGGUGCGGCGACGGAUGCAGCUCGGACUGGCAACCGGUGGCGUGCUGCAGGGCAUCCGUGCCAUCGCGCGGGAGGAGGGCGUGCGGCGGCUGUACGCCGGGCUGGGGAUCGCGUACGUCAAGGCGGUGCCGGCGGCGGCCAUUGGGCUGGUGGCUUACGACCAGAUGAAGCUUCUCUAG
rnacentral:rRNA from 1 species